UAUCUCUCUCGUUAAAACAUACUGCUACAAGGACACAUAAUGUACCUGUCUGUUUGUGUAGGGACAUUUCAUGCACGGUGUCCCAGGAUGCCCAAGGAAGUACCCCAAAGCACAAGAGAGCUAUACGGUAGAAAAAGCCGUCUAAGGAGUGAAAAGGAACCAUCUGGGCCUACCUUGAAGAGAUUACAGAUCUGGAGCUGCAGAAGGAACCAGAGACCCCAGAGCCUGCCAGGAGCAGGUGAGACUUCUGCUGUUUCAGGAGUCACUGACAAGAAACAUUGA
rnacentral:lncRNA from 1 species